GCGCAUGGUAGGAUAUUGGUGUUCUCUCUUUCCAUGGAACAUCUUAACUCAGUCCAUGCAAUAUAAUCCUAAGGAGUUAUCAGGGCAUCCAGUCUUGAAGUGCAGGCUGAGAUGUAGUAUAUCACUCCUACAUAU